rnacentral:tRNA from 1 species
GGGGUGGUGGCGCAGUUGGCUAGCGCGUAGGUCUCAUAGCAAAUUGUUGAGUGAUCCUGAGGUCGAGAGUUCGAGCCUCUCUCACCCAA